AGAUUGGGGGCGGGGAGAGGAGGCCCGGGUCCGAGGAUGGAAGCGAUCCCCGCCGGGAGGGAGAACAAAGCGGUGGCCCUCUCUCUCCCCCGACGCACGGGUUUUGGCUCCAACUCAGGCAGACUCAGCUUUAAAACCAGACUCCACCACCUACCACCUGAUUUUGACCACUCCACGUUUUGCAAAGAUCGGUUUUGCCUCAGAGUCAACAAACUCUUCAGAUUGGUUCCGGUGUGUCCUAUGUUUACAAGUCAGUGGAAAUUAAGCACAACACAUAUAAAUUGAAAAGUCAAAUAAGGAAAUGAAUUACCUCCCUUGACGGCUCUAAUUUUACUUUGACGAUGUUGUUGGGGUGAAGGUAGGAAGUGAUUUUCUCACUAAGAAGAGGGUCCUGGCCCAUAUUUUUACUUCAGCUGCUCAAAUGACAAGUUUAAAUAAGGAAAAAGAUUCCAAAAAAGGAAUUCAGGAACAUUUCCUGUGGGACCAGGCUGUGCUGCCAUUGAUCACAACUGGCUUUCUGGAGAAUUCUGCUGUGCUUCUGUGAUCUCGUUGUGGGCCUCAUGCUGGAAGCUCUGCUACUCUCCCAGUGGGGACUCCGCUUCUCAUUUCCUGGGCCUUCUGUUCAUGAUUUAUGGAUGAGACAGAGGAUGAUGUUGGCUCCAUCUGGAAAGUGGGUCAGCCAGUCUUUGAGGAGACACCUUGGAGGCCUAGGAAUAGUGCUGUGGAUACAGAUGACAUAAGUUUAGAGACAGAUAGGAGAGUGAAGAAAGGACUUGACCCUCAGAAAGUGAAAUUCAACUUCAGCCUGAAGUGGAACACUGCUCAAGAUAAAGGCUCUGCAAAAUGUACUGUAAAUGAUUCACAACCGUUAAUGCAAAGAUCCAGGUGAAGAAAUAUCCUGAAGAAAAACCCGUCCUGAUCUCAAAUGCUACCCCCAGAGGCCUGCCAGAGCACAGAACUUUCCACAGGCAAAUUGCUGGACCACUGGCUAAGGACAGUAAGAAGGGCUGGCCAUGUUAUUCAGGAGGCAAAGUGUGUUGGCACCUAUGGAGACGUUUGUACCAUUGGCUUAUCAGAUGUGUCAGCCCAGUGACUUGCAAAGGGUGAGGGGUGGUCAUGUAGCCCAUGAGACUCAUUCAUUUGGGGUCAAGACCACAGAAGAAAUGGUAAUUGAUAAUGAUUUAUUUCCUUCCUUUCCCUUCCCUUUCUGUUCCUUUCUUUCAUUUCUUUAAUUGACCUCAGGACCUCUGAUUAACCAUAAUCCUUGGUUCCAUACACUUUCAUCAUUGGUCCAUUUAUGAUCUCAUUUAUUUAAUUAUUUUAAUUAGACAACCAUGAGUCCACCACCUAGUACAAAAACUAGGACAUCGACAAUAUUUUACAUCUAACUCUAUAGUCCUUCCCUUUCUCAUCCUCAUACCUCACUCCACCCAAGGAGCUCAGCCACCUCCCGGAAUCCUGUAUUCACAAUUUCCUUGCUUUUGUUUUUAAAAGUGUGAGUAUCCCACAGUUUAUGUAACUGUUCUCCUGUUGAUGAGCCCUUAUGUUGUUUUUAGGUUUUUCAUAUUUAAAUAGUGAUGUAGCAAUAUUAUUGUACAUAUCACAGGGUAUACCUGUGUGAGAGUUUCUUUUGCGUAUAUAUCGAGAUGGAAAUUGCUCAUAGAGUAGGUGAAUACUUGACAUCACAAGAUAAUGCAAAUUAUCUUCCAAAACAUACUAAUUUUACAUUUCUACCAGCAGAGUACAAUUUGUAGAUCCACAUCCCCUCCAUUUUUCUCCAUGUCCAAUGCCAGUAACUUGGCAUUAUUGGACUUUUAAAUUUUUGUCAGGCAUGUCAGUUUCACUUGUAUCUCACUGUGUUUUGAUUUGCAUUUCCACACUUAGUAAUAUGGUUGAACAUCCCUUUCAUGUUUACUGGUCACAUAUGUUUCUUUUGUUUUGAAAUUUCUGUUCAUGUCUUCUGGUCAUUUUUCAAUUGGGAUAAAAGUACUUUUAUGCUGAUAUGCAGGAACAGUGAUUUUUCUAAAUAAUAAAAAUCUUUCAAAAUUUAAA
ensembl:lncRNA novel transcript